rnacentral:rRNA from 1 species
AUUGAACGCUGGCGGAAUGCUUUACACAUGCAAGUCGAACGGCAGCACGGGGCAACCUGGUGGCGAGUGGCGAACGGGUGAGUAAUACAUCGUAACGUGCCCAAUCGUGGGGGAUAACGCAGCGAAAGUUACGCUAAUACCGCAUACGAUCUAUGGAUGAAAGGGGGGGAUCGCAAGACCUCGCGCGAAUGGAGCGGCCGAUGUCAGAUUAGGUAGUUGGUGGGGUAAAGGCUCACCAAGCCGACGAUCUGUAGCUGGUCUGAGAUGACGACCAGCCACACUGGGACUGAGACACGGCCCAGACUCCUACGGGAGGCAGCAGUGGGGAAUUUUGGACAAUGGGCGCAGGCCUGAUCCAGCCAUUCCGCGUGCAGGAUGGAGGCCUUCGGGUUGUAAACUGCUUUUGUACGGAGCGAAAAGGCUCUCUCUAAUACAGGGGGCUCAUGACGGUACCGUAAGAAUAAGCACCGGCUAACUACGUGCCAGCAGCCGCGGUAAAAC